UACGUAGGGUGCAAGCGUUACUCGGAAUUACUGGGCGUAAAGCGUGCGCAGGCGGUUCGGAAAGAAAGAUGUGAAAUCCCAGAGCUUAACUUUGGAACUGCAUUUUUAACUACCGGGCUAGAGUGUGUCAGAGGGAGGUGGAAUUCCGCGUAUAGCAGUGAAAUGCGUAGAUAUGCGGAGGAACACCGAUGGCGAAGGCAGCCUCCUGGGAUAACACUGACGCUCAUGCACGAAAGCGUGGGGAGCAAACAGG
rnacentral:rRNA from 1 species